GGAACCCGAAUACAAUAUUGAAGUACGCUGUUUGGUAUUAACGUCGGAAAAGCAAAUAUGCAUCUCCUAGAAUUUAAAACUAAUAAAUACGAAUUGAUGUGAAACAAGUGGCGAAAAAUAGUAGCACACAUGGAUAAAUGAUUUGCACAGUGUCCUUACCAAGAUAGUCAUAGUCAUGUCCUCAGGUUUCAAAAUCAAAAUGUCCACACGCAGUCAGCUUUAAAUAUCAUACCGCUUAAUUCUUCUCUGAAAAAUCAGUUACUCUCAAGUAGUUGUGAUUUGUUUCUUCAUUUUUACAAAUGAAAAUAGUG
rnacentral:lncRNA from 1 species